UGAAUUGCUUCACUGGGCUUAUAAUCUAUCGGGGAUGUGCUACACUAUGCCGUCUUCAACAGUUCAACCUGUGAAGCAAUUUAUUUUGAGACGUUGUCUGCAUCCUGUGUUUAUGCUUACCUAUAUUGUUCCUCGGUGGGGUCACCCACCUAGUGGAACGCACUUAAACUCCUUUUGCAAUUGUAAUUAGCCUCUAAUACUAUCACAAUUAUUUACAACUUUCAACAAUGGAUCUCUUGGUUCUGGCAUCGAUGAAGAACGCAGCGAAAUGCGAUAAGUAGUGUGAAUUGCAGAAUUCAGUGAAUCAUCGAAUCUUUGAACGCACAUUGCGCCCCUUGGUUAUUCCAUUGGGCAUGCCUGUUCGAGCAUCAUAGAAAAAGGCAAGCUUUGCUUGGUGUUGAGUGUCUGUCCUAAAGAUGGACUCGCUCUAAAACUAUUGGCGGCUCCGACAAGGGUUCUUUGCGCAGCACAUGUAGCGCAGUAGGCCUGUAGUAGGUGGCAUCCAAUAAGCUAUUUCUGUUAGCUUGACCUCGGAUCAGGUAGGGAUACCCGCUGAACUUAAGCAUAUCAAAA
rnacentral:rRNA from 1 species